AUUGAACGCUGGCGGCAGGCUUAACACAUGCAAGUCGAACGAGUGGCGGACGGGUGAGUAAUGCUUGGGAAUCUGCCUUAUGGAGGGGGAUAACGACGGGAAACUGUCGCUAAUACCGCGUACCAUCGGAUGAGCCCAAGUGGGAUUAGCUAGUUGGUGGGGUAAUGGCCUACCAAGCCGACGAUCCCUAGCUGGUCUGAGAGGAUGACCAGCCACACCGGGACUGAGACACGGCCCGGACUCCUACGGGAGGCAGCAGUGGGGAAUAUUGCGCAAUGGGGGCAAACUGAUGCAGCCAUGCCGCGUGAAUGAAGAAGGCCUUCGGGUUGUAAAGUACUUUCGGUGACGAGGCGUUAAUCACAGAAGAAGCACCGGCUAACUCCGUGCCAGCAGCCGCGGUAAUUC
rnacentral:rRNA from 1 species